ACUCCCCAGGCGGUCUACUUAUCGCGUUAGCUGCGCCACUAAAGCCUCAAAGGCCCCAACGGCUAGUAGACAUCGUUUACGGCAUGGACUACCAGGGUAUCUAAUCCUGUUUGCUCCCCAUGCUUUCGCACCUCAGUGUCAGUAUUAGGCCAGAUGGCUGCCUUCGCCAUCGGUAUUCCUCCAGAUCUCUACGCAUUUCACCGCUACACCUGGAAUUCUACCAUCCUCUCCCAUACUCUAGCCAACCAGUAUCGAAUGCAAUUCCCAAGUUAAGCUCGGGGAUUUCACAUUUGACUUAAUUGGCCACCUACGCGCGCUUUACGCCCAGUAAAUCCGAUUAACGCUUGCACCCUCUGUAUUACCGCGGCUGCUGGCACAGAGUUAGCCGGUGCUUAUUCUGCGAGUAACGUCCACUAUCCAAGAGUAUUAAUCUCGGUAGCCUCCUCCUCGCUUAAAGUGCUUUACAACCAAAAGGCCUUCUUCACACACGCGGCAUGGCUGGAUCAGGGUUCCCCCCAUUGUCCAAUAUUCCCCACUGCUGCCUCCCGUAGGAGUCUGGGCCGUGUCUCAGU
rnacentral:rRNA from 1 species